UACGUAGGCAGCGAGCGUUUGUUCGGAGUUACUGGGCGUAAAGAGUGCGUAGGCGGUUUUCUAAGUUUGGUGUGAAAUCUCCCGGCUUAACUGGGAGGGUGCGCCGAAGACUGGAAGGCUAGAGUAUGGGAGAGGUAAGCGGAAUUCCUGGUGUAGCGGUGAAAUGCGUAGAUAUCAGGAGGAACACCUGCGGUGUAGACGGCUUACUGGACCAUAACUGACGCUGAGGCACGAAAGCGUGGGUAGCAAACAGG
rnacentral:rRNA from 1 species